AAGUCACUAAAUCCGGAGAUUGUUUUUUUAAUUUCGCUUUCAGUAAAAAAUAAUAGGGAUCACAUUUGUAAUGCGCAAAGAAAUCUACAUUUUAACACCCUUAACAAUGAGGUCUACCAUACUGUCAAUAGUGGUUUGAGAGAUUUGCCUGCAGUUGAGCUAUCUACACUUCCUUUAAUACUGAAGGUUCAAACUGAUUCUUUUGUUCAUUUUUUAAUGCAAUCUUAGUUUUCAUUUUCUUCUUUAAGUGUUCUUUUUUGUUAUUUAUUUCUCAAUCCUUUCUGCCAUGAUCAUAAUGGUGCUGAUUAAAAUAUUUAUGGAUUUAGCUACUUCUUCUUGUUGCACUGGUUGCUGACUUCUUCUUCUUCUUCUUCUUCUUCUUCUUCUUGCACUAGUUGCUGACGUUAACUGCUUUUAGUGGUUGUAUAUCUAACUAUUGACCUCUAAUUGCAUGAAAUUUUCUUACACAAAUUUAAUAUAUACACGUAAGUAAUUAAAAAAUCUUUCCCUUAAGCUAUUUCUUGCCUCUCACGUCUUUAGGGAUGCGGGCCGGGCUACUUGUUCAUGAGAAAACUAAACCCCUUAAGCUGUCCAUCCAGCCCAGUUAAGGCCAACCAUUUCGUGAAUGCAGUGGCUGAUGAAAAAAUGGCUAUUUUAGAGGAUUCGA